GGGUGCUAUCAAAAGAGAGCCUAAUGGAACUCCUUCUUUAGAAAACCCUUCUGAUGCGGUAGUUACCUUAAUCUUAAAUAUCUUUUAUCAUUUUAUCGGAGACUGUGUAGACAUAUAUAAAAAAAAUUAGGAAACAAUUGAUCAAUUUUAAGAGUAAAACUAUGUCUGAUUUUAGAUGGUACAAACAUAUUUUUCUAAACUUUAUCAACUUUCUGACCCA
rnacentral:lncRNA from 1 species